rnacentral:lncRNA from 1 species
GAAAGAGUAAUGAUCUAUAUGAACUAUGAUUUUUCCUUGUUUAGGGCUCAACUGGUGUACCAGGACCACCUGGACCUGUGGGACCACCAGGGCCUCAGGGGAUCCGAGGUGGCCCUGGGCCAGAGGGGCCCUGUGGGGCUGAUGGGGACAGUGGACUGGAUGGCCCUUCAGGUCUAUCAGGGCCGAUGGUAAGCAGACAAAACAUGACAAAAUUGUUGUCUGUGUAAUAAAUACAUGUAUCAUACUUCUUUUUAUGUGUGUGUCACAGGGUGCACCAGGUUUUACUGGACAAGUUGGUGCUCAGGGAGCUAAUGGCUCAAGGGGAGACAUGGGACCUGCUGGCAGUGUCGGUCCCAUAGGCCCACAGGUAUAUAUUUUAUUAGGUUAUGUAUGCUGUGGUUUUUCAACUUGCUGGAAAUGUUUAGACACUGUGUUUGGUUCCUUCUUUUUUCGAACAGGGGCCUCCAGGUUUAGACGGACAGAUGGGACCUCCAGGACUCAGAGGACCUCAAGUGAGUAG